AUUGAACGCUGGCGGCAGGCUUAACACAUGCAAGUCGAGCGGGGUGAUGGUGCUUGCACUAUCACUUAGCGGCGGACGGGUGAGUAAUGCUUAGGAAUCUGCCUAUUAGUGGGGGACAACAUCUCGAAAGGGAUGCUAAUACCGCAUACGUCCUACGGGAGAAAGCGGGGGAUCUUCGGACCUUGCGCUAAUAGAUGAGCCUAAGUCGGAUUAGCUAGUUGGUGGGGUAAAGGCCUACCAAGGCGACGAUCUGUAGCGGGUCAGAGAGGAUGAUCCGCCACACUGGGACUGAGACACGGCCCAGACUCCUACGGGAGGCAGCAGUGGGGAAUAUUGGACAAUGGGGGGAACCCUGAUCCAGACAUGCCGCGUGUGUGAAGAAGGCCUUAUGGUUGUAAAGCACUUUAAGCGAGGAGGAGGCUACUCUAGUUAAUACCUAGGGAUAGUGGACGUUACUCGCAGAAUAAGCACCGGCUAACUCUGUGCCAGCCGCCGCCGUAA
rnacentral:rRNA from 1 species